rnacentral:rRNA from 1 species
UGCAGUCGAGCGGGGAAGGGUAGCUUGCUACCUGACCUAGCGGCGGACGGGUGAGUAAUGCUUAGGAAUCUGCCUAUUAGUGGGGGACAACAUUCCGAAAGGAAUGCUAAUACCGCAUACGCCCUACGGGGGAAAGCAGGGGAUCUUCGGACCUUGCGCUAAUAGAUGAGCCUAAGUCAGAUUAGCUAGUUGGUGGGGUAAAGGCCUACCAAGGCGACGAUCUGUAGCGGGUCUGAGAGGAUGAUCCGCCACACUGGGACUGAGACACGGCCCAGACUCCUACGGGAGGCAGCAGUGGGGAAUAUUGGACAAUGGGCGAAAGCCUGAUCCAGCCAUGCCGCGUGUGUGAAGAAGGCCUUUUGGUUGUAAAGCACUUUAAGCGAGGAGGAGGCUACUUGGAUUAAUACUCUAGGAUAGUGGACGUUACUCGCAGAAUAAGCACCGGCUAACUCUGUGCCAGCAGCCGCGGUAAUACAGAGGGUGCGAGCGUUAAUCGGAUUUACUGGGCGUAAAGCGUGCGUAGGCGGCUUUUUAAGUCGGAUGUGAAAUCCCUGAGCUUAACUUAGGAAUUGCAUUCGAUACUGGGAAGCUAGAGUAUGGGAGAGGAUGGUAGAAUUCCAGGU